UUUUUAUUCUCGUCGAUUAUACUGUUCUGACUUUCCUAUAUCAGCAUCCAUAAUCA
rnacentral:sRNA from 1 species